GGCGCAGCUCCGGAGGGGCCGCGGGACGCCGCCGGCAGCCAAUGGGAAGCGGCGAGACGCGCAGCUUGGCGCGGAGGAUUGGAAGGUCGGUGGGAAGGAGAGCGGUGCGGCCGGGCUGUCAAUCAAAGUAACGUGGGGCGCCGAGACGCGGGCGCGCGCGGGGGGAGUGUGGCGGCGUGCGGCGCGGGGCUGCUGGCUGGAGUGCACCGGAUCCACUUGUUCACUUUUCCCUGCGAGGAAAACCAUUCGAUCGCAGCGAAAGUAACUCCGACGCCCGCGUGGGUUGGGCCGGGGGCACUUCUCAGUGAUUUCCACCUCAGCGCGGCUCUGUGAGUGGGGUGACGUCCCAAGGUCUCGGGCAUGUUUCUCCCCGAGCAGCCGCUUCCCGCUGCGCGAGGCAGGGGCUAUGCCGGGUGGGAGUGCGUGAGAGAGCGGCGCUGCGGCUGCCACGCGGACCCCGGCCGCCCCGCCGCCCCGCCGCCCCGCCUUGGGGCUGGUGUCGUGGAAGAGUCUAGCGGCUGAGCGGAAAGCUCGGCCUGCCCUGCGUGGGCGGAGAGGGGCCCCACGGCGCCGCCGGUGGUGGGUACGCGCGUCCCCGGCCCGCGCGGAGAAGACGCCGGCCACGCGAGAAGCCGGGGUCCUCGUCCCAAGAGUCUGGCCGAACGCUUGAGCCUCUCAACGGCCAGACCGGAGCCUCUUCCCACUUCCUGGGAACAAAGAGACCACGGGAGACCUGAAGGGCUGCCCCACCCUCCCGGCCGUGGUUUAGGACGCGCUCUUAGCCGGCUGCGGGCUGGCACUUUACAGGGUACAAGAGACCAAGCUUGGAAACCAGAAGCUGGAGAUCAGGAAAGGAGGGAAGGAGAAACGGAUGCGUCUGGGAGGAAAUACAUUGUUUACAUUCACAGCCUACCCAUUUGCUUACCUUCUUAAAGCCCCAAAACUUGUAGGAGAUUAGCCAUUUACUUGGUAUUCAAAUAAACUGUGUAAGAAUUUGAGGCACUAAGUGGAUAAACUUGCUAGCUGGUCAAUCAUGUUUUUAAAAACUGUGUCUGGCAUACAGAACCACCUCACCCAGGGCUAAACUUGUGUUUAUUUAACUCUGUAUUUCCAGGGAUGUAUCAGCCCCAAGUAGCAUGUGUUUAUAAGUAGUCACAGAACCAUAGAUAUAAACCAGGUGUACAGGCAUAGGCCUGUCAUCCAAGCCCCUGGGAGGCUGAGGCAGGUGCCAGGAGUUUGAGGCCAGCCUACAUUGUGGUUCCAGGCCACUCAGAACUACAUAGGGAGACCCUGUCUCAAAAAACAAAGCAAAACAAAAAGUGCAGAUAUAAAUGUCCUUGUCCUAUGUUCUUUUCCACCUAACACCUAAGGAUGGCACACUCCUCUGUGUUGAAGUACUCUAAUUAAUGUGGGUUUUUCACACCAGUAAAACAGAUUCAUGGUGAGUUCCUUGAAAUAGUUCAGGUUCUGCUUAGACCCUGCAAGGUGACCUGGAACAGCACAGUCCGUGUUUGGGGACCUGACCCAGUACUGCCUAGAGUUGUGACCAUGAUAAUGGGUCUUCUGCGUGCACACACACUCCAACCUUCAACCCAUUCUAAGGUCUGAUAAAAGCUGGGAUAAUCCACUCUUAUUCUUCCAGGUUAGCAUUUAACAGGACAGAAACUAAAGGGUGUUCAAUAGACAUCCAGGGAAGGUCAUUACAGGAAGCUCCUUCCGGGCUCCUUACUGCACAUUCAUUUGAGAAGAGCAGACCAGAGAUCUCUGAGCCCUCCCAGUGCCCCACCUCUGCUGCAAGCUAAGGGAUUGCCAAGGAAAUCACAGCACUCUGGACAACUUUCCUCACACCUUAAAUCUCAUAAACGAUGCUUCUUCCUGUAGCUGGCAAGGUCUUAGCAGGGUUAAAACCUGGGCUCAACAACUCAGUGAUCCCAGGGUGUUUCUCUAGUUGAAGGCAGAUGAGGCAUGAGGUGGGAAGGGCACUAGCAGGUAAGUGUAUUCCAGAUACCUUCGUGUUACUAAAACAGAACAUUUGGGCGUAGACAAGGUAAGUGGCAUAAAUACAGAGUGUUGGGACACUACAGGAGACAAGUAUCUGGGUGCUUUCAAAGGCAUUGUCAGCUGAUAGAGCUCAGCAGCAGAGCACUUAUCUAGCAUGCAGAAGGCUCGGUUUGAUUCCCAGCACUGCCAAAAAACAACCAAACAAUGUAAUGUGAAAGAGAAAAAUGAAAAAAGUUGCUGGGCGUGGUGGUGUAUAUCUGUAAUGCCAGCACUCAGGGAGGCUGAGGCAGGAGGGUGGGUAGCUCUGAGUUUGAGGCCAACCAGGACUACAAAGUGACAUCAAGGCCAGCCUGAAUGACAUAGUGAGACCAUGUCUCAAAAACGAAAAGUAAAGAAAGAUUAUCCUUAAAAACAAAGCAAUAGGAUUUAAAUGCAAUGUGUGAGUCCUGCUGGCUCCUGGAUCAAAAAAACUAUGGAGCUGGCAUGGUGAUGAACACCUGCAAUCCCAGCACCUUGAGAGGCUGGGGCCGGAAUACCGCUGGGAGUUCAAAGCCUUAAAGAGGCCACUUUGGACUGCAGAGUGAGUCCUAAAACCAUGGAGCCUGUUACUCGACAGUUUUGCUCUGGACCGGUUACAAGGUGAUGAGGAAUUACAGUGCUGUUUUUGGUUUGGGUUUUUUGACACAGGGAUCUCCUUGUUCGGCCCAGGCGGGCCUUGAAAGUGCCGAGAUUACAGGAUGCGACAUCACACCAGGUUGUGGUGCUCCUUGGAUGUGAAAAGGCUGGGCAGUUCUGUUCUGAGACAGUGAAUGAUAAAGGAUGAGACGGGUGACUCCUAUCACUGCAAAUAAACAAUGCAUCUCAUGGGAGAAUGAGAACGCAAAUUGGACAGUGUGUCUACACCUCUAAGAUUUGGGGAUAGUUUAUAGCUAUUUGUUUUAUUGUUUAUUCUGUUUGAAAUUUUCACAAUAAAACGUUUUGGGAAAACAAUUCAAACUUCAUUGUCUGCAUAAUCUCAUGUGUUAAAUGGAAUUUGCUUCAUGAGUUAAAAAAUGAUUUAUAGGGCCAGG
rnacentral:lncRNA from 1 species